GACGUAGGGGGCGAGCGUUGUCCGGAUUUAUUGGGCGUAAAGCGUGCGUAGGCGGCUGCGCAAGUCGGGUGUGAAACCCCGGGGCUCAACCCCGGAACUGCAUCCGAUACUGCGUGGCUAGAGGUAGGUAGGGGAGAUCGGAAUUCCUGGUGUAGCGGUGAAAUGCGUAGAUAUCUGGAGGAACACCGGUGGCGAAGGCGGCAUCCUGGACCAACACUGACGCUGAGGAGCGAAAGCCAGGGGAGCAAACGGG
rnacentral:rRNA from 1 species